GAUGCUUCAUCUCGACCACCGUGAAGGCGACCGCGGGGUGGCUAAUAUUACACUGGACUACUGGUUGAAUGCAAACAUUAUGCAAAGUUCAAAUACGGAUACAUUUUCUGUCGUUCCUGUUCCCUUUACCG
ensembl:ncRNA F08C6.16 ncRNA